UACGAAGGAUCCAAGCGUUAUCCGGAUUCAUUGGGUUUAAAGGGAGCGUAGGCGGUUUAAUAAGUCAGUGGUGAAAUCCCUCAGCUCAACUGAGGACCUGCCAUUGAUACUGUCGAACUAGAGUACAGAUGACGUUGGCGGAAUGUGUCAUGUAGCGGUGAAAUGCAUAGAUAUGACACAGAACACCGAUUGCGAAGGCAGCUGACGAAACUGAAACUGACGCUGAGGCUCGAAAGUGCGGGGAU
rnacentral:rRNA from 1 species